CCUCCGCGCGCGGCGUGCCGAGGCUGCAAUCACAGCCCUGCAGCCUGGCGUCCGCCCCCAGCAGGCCUUCCCACUAAUUUCCUAACUGCUCACCAUUUUAUCUCCCACCUUCAUUUGGAUGCCAUUGAAACAACUGAUGUCCUGCUUGCUUAGGAGAAUGAUACAGGGACUCUUCCCCCUCCUCCAAAUCAAAGAGCCAGAGCUCUUGUAAGAGGUACCAGGAUCAUCCCUGCCUGUAUACUCACAGAAAGCCCAUCUUGCAGUCCUUGGCUGCAAGCAAAACUCCUGACGACUACAAAGGAAGUUUUCUUAUGUGAAGACUAUUGAAUCUGGCCCAUAAAUGCUGCUGAAGAAGUGUUAUAAUUAGAUUGAACUGAAAUCAGGCACUAAAUCAUAGCAUGAAUCAAAGCACAGAGGGUAUUUUCAAGCAACAAGCUGCCUUAGAGUUCUGCUUCUUUUUCACUGUCCAUAGGGAAAAGGCAGUCAUAUUACUAGCAUGGACAGCAUCCAUUUGUCAUCAAGUAGCAAAUCUAAGGACUGAUCCUGAUGUUCUCUCUGUCAAGUCCCCCUGUUUACUACAAAAUAGCUCUCCCUUCACUAAUAUAUUGCAGAACAUUAUUUCUGAGAAGUCGUUUUAGCAGUUCUUGGUUCUUCUUUGUCAUCUUCUGCUUUCCUGUGUUACCUUAGGCUACAUCUAGACUGCAAACUUCUUUCAGAAGAAGUUUUUCCAGAAGAGAUCUUCCAGAAAAACAUUUUUCGAAAGAGAGUGUCUCCACAGCAAAAGUGCAGAGAUAAAGCCAUCUGCUGUUUUGAAAGAUAGCUUCCAGUCAAUUUGGAUGCUAUCUCGCAUUUCACUUACGAUUACUAGGGACGGAGUGGCCACCAGGGCACCUGUGCUUUUUCCUAGAGGCCUCUCUCUUUCCAGAAAGCGCACUCUAUGUCCACAUGUGCCUUUUUCCGAAAGAUCUCAUUUGGAAUAAAGGUGGUUUCUUCUUCAUAGAAUGUUUACCUCUGUCGGAAAACCCCCUCCAUUCUUUCAACUUUCUGAUGAAAGAAUGCAAUAGCAGUGUGGACUCUGGGGGGCUGGUGGGGAGUUCUACCUCCUCAACAAAAAUUGCUCCCACCCCCACCCCCGACCCCAAAAUAUUCUGGUGCGGCUCUUUGCAUUUUUUUCCGCCGUUGUUUCGGCUCUCUUCAUUUAAUGGGUUGGCCACCCCUGCUGUAGGUGCUACAAAAAAUCCUGGGGUUAGUAGUAUAGCAUUUUUCACUAAUGGAGCUCAAAGUGCUUUAAAAAGGAGGUGAGCAUCAUUAUUCCCAACCCCUACUUUCUGUAUUCAAAUGAAGAAAGAUCAUUCAGAAGCACUGGCAGGAUCCUUAUUUUUCACAUCACUAGCAUAAGGGAAGGAAACUGGGAAUCUUCAGUCUCAAUUAGGGAAGGAGUAGAAGGAAGAAUCCCAUCUUUCCAUGAUGAGUAGCUUUCCUUGGCUGACAUGCACUCCUGUGUAUAAAUCCGGGUAUUUGGACAGUACAUUGUACAUAUUCAUGAAUUAUGUAUCAUCAGUAGUUUUAAAAAAAUAAAAUUUAGGAUUG